GCCCGCCUAGCUCAGUUGGUAGAGCGCAAUGCUCUUAUGAGAAACACAAGUAGUUGUAAUCGACUGCUGAAACCUUGUGGUCCGGGGUUCGAGCCCCCGGGUGGGCG